rnacentral:rRNA from 1 species
CGGUAGCUAAUACCGCAUAACGUCUUCGGACCAAAGUGGGGGACCUUCGGGCCUCACGCCAUCAGAUGUGCCCAGAUGGGAUUAGCUAGUAGGUGGGGUAAUGGCUCACCUAGGCGACGAUCCCUAGCUGGUCUGAGAGGAUGACCAGCCACACUGGAACUGAGACACGGUCCAGACUCCUACGGGAGGCAGCAGUGGGGAAUAUUGCACAAUGGGCGCAAGCCUGAUGCAGCCAUGCCGCGUGUGUGAAGAAGGCCUUCGGGUUGUAAAGCACUUUCAGCGAGGAGGAAGGGUGGUGUGUUAAUAGCGCAUCACAUUGACGUUACUCGCAGAAGAAGCACCGGCUAACUCCGUGCCAGCAGCCGCGGUAAUACGGAGGGUGCAAGCGUUAAUCGGAAUUACUGGGCGUAAAGCGCACGCAGGCGGUUUGUUAAGUCAGAUGUGAAAUCCCCGCGCUUAACGUGGGAACUGCAUUUGAAACUGGCAAGCUAGAGUCUUGUAGAGGGGGGUAGAAUUCCAGGUGUAGCGGUGAA